rnacentral:misc_RNA from 1 species
GAUGAAGAACGCAGCGAAAUGCGAUAAGUAAUGUGAAUUGCAGAAUUCAGUGAAUCAUCGAAUCUUUGAACGCACAUUGCGCCCGCCAGUAUUCUGGCGGGCAUGCCUGUUCGAGCGUCAUUACAACCCUCAGGCCCCCGGGCCUGGCGUUGGGGAUCGGCGGAGCCCCCCGUGGGCACACGCCGUCCCCCAAAUACAGUGGCGGUCCCGCCGCAGCUUCCAUCGCGUAGUAGCUAACACCUCGCGACUGGAGAGCGGCGAGGCCACGCCGUAAAACACCCAACUCUUCUGAAGUUGACCUCGAAUCAGGUAGGAAUACCCGCUGAACUUAAGCAUAUCAAUAAGCGGAGGA